GAUGAACGCUGGCGGCGUGCCUAAUACAUGCAAGUCGAGCGAAAAGACGAGGAGCUUGCUCCUCUGACGUUAGCGGCGGACGGGUGAGUAACACGUGGAUAACCUACCUAUCAGACUGGGAUAACUUCGGGAAACCGGAGCUAAUCCCGGAUAACCUGUUGCACCGCAUGGUUCAACAGUGAAAGUCGGUCUUGCUGUCACUUCUAGAUGGAUCCGCGCCGCAUUAGCUGGUUGGUAAGGUAACGGCUUACCAAGGGAACGAUGCGUAGCCGAGCUGAGAGAGUGAUCGGCCACACUGGAGCUGAGACGCGGUCCAGACUCCUACGGGAGGCAGCAGUAGGGAAUCGUCCGCAAUGGUCGAAAGCCUGACGGAGCAACGCCGCGUGAGUGAAGAAGGUCUUCGGAGCGUAAAACUCUGUUAUUAGGUAAGAACAAAUGUGUAAGUAACUAUGCACGUCCUGACGGUACCUAAUCAGAAAGCCACGGCUAACUACGUG
rnacentral:rRNA from 1 species